CAUUUUUUACCAAAAAUAAAAUGCAAAUUUAUUUGCUACCUUAAAUUUCAUUUUUGAUGUUUUUAUAUUUUUGAGUAGGUGCUGCUUUACGAACAGAACAGCUAAAUAAAGAUGAGCGUCAUCCUGAAAUCACUCGGGAAGCUACUAGAGUGAAGCGUGGUAUUGGGAAAUUUAUUUCAGACACCAUUGAUCACUUUGAGAAUCACGUGCCCCGAUCAGCUAUCAUGGCAAUGCCAGCCUGCAUUUUCUUCAUUGCUCUUGCCUGCUGUAUGACGUUUUGUUGUGAUGCUCCAAUGCAGUAAAAUUUACUGUAACAUUAAAUCAUGGAUAGAGCAACACUGGAUGAAUCUUCAGUCAAACCCUCAGCUGUAUCCAUCACACUCUCUUCAGUGAUGCAAGAAAUGAUGUUAUGAAAAGAAAAAUACAGAAAUAAUCUGCUGCUGUCUUUAACAUGGUGCAGUCUAUGCCUUAUUUUUCAACCAGCUUUGACAAUGCCUGUGACUCUUCAGCAGUGCAAUAUAAUGUCUGGUGUUUAUUUAUUCCAA